AAGUCUGUCCUCCUUUGAUCUGAGAUUGACAAUCGAGGCUAUUCUGAGAAGGACUAAUUACAGAACACAUCCGGAAGUGACUCACCAGCUUGCAGACAGCACCUCUUCUAGAAUAAGACCGAAGACUAUCGAUUGUCCUGAAAGAUGCUGAGAAAUGUAGCUCAUGUAAGGACCUGGCCCAUCUAAAAGAAUGGACUUGUAUCACCUAAGACAAAGAUAUGGAGGAAGCUCACAGUGAACUUUUUAUGGUAGAAUUAUGCUUUGGGAUGCUGCAAAAGAAUGUGAUAGGAUAAGCUGGAUAGUUUCCUAAGAUGAUAUUUGUACUCUGAGGUGGAUGCUGGGCUCACUCUGUGAUGUGUCUCGGCCUCCCUGCUUCCCCGCAUUCCAGGUGGCUGGCCAAGCUCCUUAUGUUUUUGUUCUUUUUGGCUUCAUUGCUUUGGUUAUGUAAUUGUUCCCUUCACCAUGAGACCUCAGAGGUCGCUCACUAUAGCAUCAUGUCAAGAUAAGGGCAUCCUGUGCUGAUCAGAUAGUUGCAGAAGUCAGGCAGGGGGCCAGUCCUAUCUGACUGACGCAUACCUGCUUCCAGACCCAGUGUAACCGGCUGGCUCUUAGGAGUCUAGGAGCAUAGGAAAGAAAACGUUAUCAUGCAGUGGCUAGGAAAAAGCUUCUGGUCACAUGACCUCCAGGAGCCGCACUCACUGGGUGAUGGGGUUGGUUAUUGUCUGCAGUGUGGCACCCAACAUUCAUGUCAGGGCUCCUUCUGUAUUUUGGUGUUGAAGCCAGGAAGCAAAUUAAUUUGUGGAGUUUUCUCCCUGACUUUGAUUUAUCCUAUAUUUCUUGUCCAGACAAUCAGCAUGGGUCAGAAAUGCUAACUCCUGAGGGGCCAGUGUCAAACUUUCAUCUCAGAGAAAAGUAAAGAAACAUGUUUAUGUGUAUUUCAAAGUGUAGGCCUUUCCUGUUUGAACAGAGUGGGCAAGACAGGUUGAAAUGGAUUUCAGAUGCAUACAUAAGAGUAUCCAGGAGGGAAAGGCAAUUGAAUAUUUAUUAUGAGACAGAAUCAAACUGUCUUCUCCCACAGACAAGCACGGCAAACUGCAGGUACCUAAUAAUUAGACUCAUUUCUGCAUUGCCUACCAAAGGCUAACUUCCAAAGGACUGGGAAGAAGGGCUUGGGACCACACCACAGUCAAGUCCAUUGAGCUUCUCCUCAUACUCAGUUUCAUAUCAGCCUCUGCUCUCCUGGCCUGGCUCACAUCCUCCCCUCGUUCCCUGGGCUAGGUUUUCCGAUGCUUCUACUUCAGUUUCUAGCAACUCAGUCCCCAUUCACUUGACUUUCCUUCUUUUGUAGAGCACAGGAUCCCCUGGAAGGUGUUCUUGGGCUUGGCUACUUAAAGAGCCUGGGGGGUGGGGAGUAGCAGUAUGAAGUCACUAGUGACUCUUUAUUCUCAUUUGGAGAGUCAUAGAAGAGAAUUGGAAUAGCGGUCAGGAAACGUGUAAUCUAGCCUCUCUGUGUCUCCAUCUGUGACCUUGGGAGGGACCCUUCUGCUUCCUCUGUCUACAUUUUCUUCAUUUCUCAAAGGAAGCAGUGACAUUUGAGUUCUGGUUUCAGGGUUGAAGAAUUUAUUUAUUGGGUUCUUGUAAUAAGACAGGCUAUUGUGAAUCGAUGAUAAUCUCAUAUAGUCAACCAGGGGAAAAUGUGUGAUACACAUUUGUGUAUAGAGCUACACAAAGACUCUAUAAAUAUGAGAAGUGACAUUAAUUUUUUUCUUAAUAUCACGAGCUGCAAAGUAAUUUACAAAUAAAUAAAUAAAUAAAUAAAUGAAAAAUAAAGUGUCCUAGUCCACCAAA